AGCAGCGUGGCUUAGUGGAAAGAGCAAGGGCUUGGAAGUCAGAAGUCAUGGGUUCUAAUCCCACCUCUGCCA
rfam:Ornithorhynchus anatinus chromosome 4, whole genome shotgun sequence.